rnacentral:rRNA from 1 species
UACGUAGGGUCCGAGCGUUGUCCGGAUUUAUUGGGCGUAAAGAGCUCGUAGGCGGUUCCGUAAGUCAGAUGUGAAAACUCAGGGCUCAACCCGGAGACGCCAUCUGAUACUGCGGUGACUGGAGUCUGGUAGGGGAACACGGAAUUCCUGGUGUAGCGGUGAAAUGCGCAGAUAUCAGGAGGAACACCGAUGGCGAAGGCGGCGUUCUGGACUGCAACUGACACUGAGGAACGAAAGCCAGGGGAGCAAACGGG